rnacentral:tRNA from 1 species
GGAGGGAUCGCAUAGUGGUCUAGUGCGGGCGCCUGCUAAGCGCUUAGACCGGGUUGACCGGUCUCGCGGGUUCGAAUCCCGCUCCCUCCGCCA